UAUUAUUAUUGUUAAUUACUUUAUUUUAUUUUUUUGUUAAAUAAAUAAAAGUGAUUAACAAUAAUUUUUGUUUGAAGCUAUAUAUAUACAGUAUAUAUAUUCUUAAACCUAACUUUAAAAAAUAAUGUAGAGAGUGAGUGUGAGAGUUCCACGAGCCUUCCACCUACCUGAGAGAGAGUUAAUUGACGUUACAACAUAACCAUUAAUAUUCCAUUUCGAUAACUAUCAGAAUUCACUAACACAAUAGUUCAAGUGUUCUAAAUGUUCUUAAAUUUGUCACAAUUACAUCGCAGUCUUUAUUGGUCAUUGUCGUUGCCACCUUCCAUUGUCUCCGUCAGGCUGCCACCCCAACGGGAUGAAUUUUUUUCCUAUCACUGGUUUUUAUAUUUUUAUUGUUUCUUCUUUUCACUGAUGACUAAUUUAACUCUUCUUUUCUCUUCAGACCCUGACUCUUUUUCGUUAACCCUCUGGCUGAUUAAACUUCCC
rnacentral:lncRNA from 1 species